GGAGAGGGAGAAGCAGGCUUCCCGCUGAGCAGGGAGCCCGACGCGGGGCUCGAUCCCAGGACCCUGGGACCAUGACCUGAGCGGAAGGCAGAGGCUUAACGACUGGGCCGCCCAGACGCCUCCCAGGGCAGGACAUCUUACAGCUAAUACUUAUUUGAGCCCCCUUAAGGCCUGAACUGUGCCCGCCAUUGGACCUCCAGGACUGCAAGAAAAUGAAUUUCUCUUCUUCUUUAAGCCUUAAGCUGUGCAGUCUGUGGUAUUUUGUUGUGGCAGCCCUAGCCAACUAACAGUCCUUCGAUGUGUUUUUCCCCCAACGAAGUGGGCAAGUGUGGGGGCACUGGAGGAAAACCUGCUCACACUGAAGACCCCGGCUGUCGCCUGAACCACUAUGCUGGGCUGCUUCAGCUUUAAGACCAAGCAGUAAAAACAAAUGGGAGCUCAGCCAAGAAGAAAGAAUGUCCUCAUCUGGAAGGUUAUCAAACCUUAAAGCAGCUCCUGAAGGGAGACACCAAACCACUUUCUAAGACAAGGUUUAGUCUCCUGGAAGAAAGGCCUUGGACACAUUUGCCCUUCCAGCUGAGCACCAUCCACCACAAAUGUUUAACUGAGCACCUACUGUAUG